CUGAGAGUGCCCUGGGCCUGGAGACCAGCUGUGGGUGUGUGUAUCAGAGGAGGAGGGUCCAGCCGGUCCUGCGCUCCUGCAGCUUCGGCUCAGUCCAUUCAGUCCCCGAAUCAGCUCUGACAGGGCAGGGCGUGGCUUGGAGGGUGCCAGGGAGGACUCAGGUGUGGCUCUAUCAAAGCCAGUUGCUCCUGUUUUCAACUACAUUCCCCUCUUGGCUGGCGCUUCAUGAAACAGACUAGAAUUAAUGUCUCUCACCUGCAUUUCCAACUGCCUUUCAGGGUCAUUGAGGAUGAAUUUAGAUGACGUCAGGCACGAGGCAUGGGAGCCUGUGCAGUUACCCUGGUGUCUGGGCUUUCCUGUUUCCUAGGGUUGAGCAAGGAGGUUGGGCGGGUGUGAGGACACCUGGACGCUCCCAGUCCUGGAGCCAUGCUCUGCUCCUCAGACAGAGCCCAAGGCUCUGUGACUAGGGUGACCAUCAUGGGAGAAAAUUGCUGUGGGAAGACCUCAUGGCCUGUGUCCUGUGCCGGGGCUCGCGCAUGUUCUCUGGUGUGUGGUCCUCUCUGUCCUAAACUUCUCUGAAGUUUAGUUUUUUGGAAGAUGUUCUCAAAGCCAAAGACCCGUUUUCUAUCUACUCUGGUAACGUACACAUGUCAGCUUUUUAAAGAAAAUGCUCUUUAUCAUCAGCCAAUGACAUUUUGAUAGGUCGUCGGAUACAGGAAGCUCACGGGUGCUGCCGAAGGCACUGCCACCACUAG
rnacentral:lncRNA from 1 species